AAGCCAUGUUGCGGACAACUGGAACAUAAUUUCUUUAACCUCUCCCAAUAUUCAUAGAGAGUUUCGCCAUCUCUUUGCUAGAUUCCCAAAAUGCUUCGCCUAAGUUC